rnacentral:misc_RNA from 1 species
AACGCACAUUGCGCCCGGCAGUAAUCUGCCGGGCAUGCCUGUCCGAGCGUCAUUUCAGCCCUCGAACCACUAUUCACGUAGCUGGAUCGGUGUUGGGGCACUACGGUGGAAUACCCGUAGGCCCCUAAAUGAAGUGGCGGUCCCGCCGCGGCGCCCCCAUGCGUAGUAACUUUCAGUCUCGCAUCGGGUCCCGGCGGAGGCCUGCCGUCAAGCCUAUUUUAUCUUUACAGAUGGUUUGACCUCGGAUCAGGUAGGGUUACCCGCUGAACUUAA